CAUUCACUAGGAACUACAGCAAUGAAGAACAGAAUUGAACUUACAGAAUGUGGCUCAGAGAGGAGGGACUCAGUGUUCACAGAUCAGACAUGAUCUAAUUAUGUCUGACAGAGACUGUGGUAGAAACUAUUCAGUCUUGACUCUUCUCAGAGUGAACACGGGUACAAUGGAUCUUUAUUCAAUUAUACUGUUCAGUGCUUCAGCAGCUGCUGUCUUUGGAAAUGUCAUCAAAACAAACAAAACUGAUGUUUUUUAUGAAGAGGGUUCAGUUAUUGUAUUGUCCUGUAGUCAGUCACCUGUAGCUUCAGAUAAUAUCUACUGGUACCGUCAGUAUGAAAGAUCAAGACCUGAAUUUCUUGUACUCACCUACGGUAGUUCAAAAGAACCUGCGGUGUCUGAUGUAGAUCCAAGAUUCUCUGUUAAACCUGAAACAAAGGAACAAAUCCAUGCGGAUCUGAAGAUCUCCUCUGCUGCUGUAUCAGACUCUGCUCUGUACUACUGUGCUCUGAGGCCCACAGUGACAGGAAACACAUCAGCUCUCUACAAAAACCUGCUACAAUGAGAGACAGGAGAAAAAAAGACAGCAAGAAAUAACGUAAAUGAAUGUUAAAUUAUCUCAAAUGAUUCACAUGUGUAAUGUAGUAUACUGUAUAGUGCAUACUGUACAUUCACAUGGAGUUCCUGCUUGUUCCAAAAUCUGAUUACAUUUUAAACAAAUAAAAUAGCUAGACUAUAAAUACUUAUUAUUCUUUAUAUUUUCAUCAGUCAAAAAUUUUAAUGAUAAAUGCGACGACAUCAAGCAUUUAAGCCAUGCCUUUAUAAAGCAGAAAGUUCCUGUGUGUUUGUGACUGAUCUGCAGUGACUUACAGCUCAGAGCACUGAGAGCCUCAACAGAGAACUGAACUGAUCUGAUUGAACAUGGACAGAUGCUUCAUACUGAUUCUCAUUGUGGUACAUUAGGUACAUUAUUUGUGGAAGUGGAAACAAAUGAAAGUGUAUUAACGUGAUAUUUACAUGUUUUAAAACUUCAAACUCUAAAUGUUUUAUUUAUUUACUUAUUUUCUAAAAAUGUUGUGAAAGGUUUUUGAGAUAUUAUUUUGUCAACCUUUCACAUUUCAAAAUUGUUCAAAUGUGUUUAUUGUUAACAGGUUUGGUGGCUGGAGACAACGUUGAGACAUUGACAGAAACAUUGACAGAAAUAAUCACUAAAGAAAGGGAAAUUGUCAAGUUGAGCUGCUCAUAUAGCACAAGUAGCAAUGGCUUUUCUGUUAUGGACAUUAUCUGAAGAGAGAACCCCAGUAUUUAUUACAAAAAGGUGACAACUUAUACUUAAGAUGCCACUUAUGCAAAAUACUUGCAGUGAACCAGAAGAGGGCAGUAGGUGCUCAAUAUUACAUUUGAUGAUAUGGCAGCUUUCAUUUGUCUUCACAAGCUCCUCCUUGCAUUAUCAUUAUAAUAACAAAAACACAACUGUCAUAUUCAGUGAUUUAUCUGGACUUCGGCAUAGACACAGUCAUGUCACACAGGUUGAUGAAUAUAUUUCUCUUCGCACUAUUCAUUCAUGGUAUGGAUUUUCAUUUAAUACAGCUGCAUAUUCAAGUAAGUUGUUUAUAUUUUGUAUUGUAUUGUACAUUACAUUUUCUUAAACCUUCACAGAGUGCAGAUCAGAGGACACAGUUGAUCAGCCAGACAAACAUGUGACUGAAGUUGAAGGAAGA